UGCAAUCCAACUCGUUCGGGUGCUCGGGAAGACCGGUGAAACUCCGGAGCGGACCCGCCACUGUGACCCUGACGAACCUGCCGCGACAUCCACUGGACCUCGAUCCGGGAAGGAGCAGGGGAGGAAGAAGGGAAGCCAGGAGACCGGCCCGGUGCGAGGGAGAGUC
rnacentral:ncRNA from 2 species